GACGAACGCUGGCGGCGUGCCUAAUACAUGCCAGUUGAGCGCUGAAGGUUGGUACUUGUACCAACUGGAUGAGCAGCGAACGGGUGAGUAACGCGUGGGGAAUCUGCCUUUGAGCGGGGGACAACAUUUGGAAACGAACGCUAAUACCGCAUAAAAACUUUAAACACAAGUUUUAAGUUUGAAAGAUGCAAUUGCAUCACUCAAAGAUGAUCCCGCGUUGUAUUAGCUAGUUGGUGAGGUAAAGGCUCACCAAGGCGAUGAUACAUAGCCGACCUGAGAGGGUGAUCGGCCACAUUGGGACUGAGACACGGCCCAAACUCCUACGGGAGGCAGCAGUAGGGAAUCUUCGGCAAUGGACGAAAGUCUGACCGAGCAACGCCGCGUGAGUGAAGAAGGUUUUCGGAUCGUAAAACUCUGUUGGUAGAGAAGAACGUUGGUGAGAGUGGAAAGCUCAUCAAGUGACGGUAACUACCCAGAGAGGGACGGCUAACUACGUG
rnacentral:rRNA from 1 species